rnacentral:rRNA from 1 species
GAUGAACGCUGGCGGCGUGCCUAAUACAUGCAAGUCGAGCGAGCGGACGAGAAGCUUGCGGCUGUGGGGUGAGCAACGGACGGGAGAGUAACACGGGGAGAACCUACCUAUAAGAAAGGGACAGCUACGGGAAACCGGGGCUAAUACCGGAAAAAAUUAUGAACCGGAGGGGGCAAAAGUGAAAGACGGUCUUGCUGUUACGUAAAGAUGGAACCGCGCUGCAGUAGAUAGUUGGUAAGGUAACGGCUUACAAAGGCAACGAUGCAUAGCCGACCUGAGCGAGUGUCAGGCCCCACUCGAACUGAGUCACCGUCCAGACUGCUACUGGGGGCCGCAGUAGGCACUCUUCCGCAGUGGCCGAAAGCCUGUCGCAGCAACGCCGGGUGACUUAUGAAGGUCUUCGCGUCGUGAAAUUCUGUUCUCAGGGAUGAUCAUCUGUGUAACUAACUGUGCACAUCUUGACGGUACCUAAUCAGAAAGCCACGGCUAACUACGUG